CGCGUAGGCGGUUCGUUAAGUUGCUGGUGAAAUCCCGGGGCUCAACUCCGGGGCUGCCGGCAAGACUGGCGGGCUAGAGCACGGUAGAGGCGGAUGGAAUUCCCGGUGUAGCGGUGGAAUGCGUAGAUAUCGGGAAGAAUACCGGUGGCGAAGGCGUUCCGCUGGGCCGUUGCUGACGCUGAGGCGCGACAGCGUGGGGAAGCAAACA
rnacentral:rRNA from 1 species